GACGAACGCUGGCGGCGUGCUUAACACAUGCGAGUCGAACGAUGAAGCCUUAGCUUGCUUUGGUGGAUUAGUGGCGAACGGGUGAGUAACACGUGAGCAACGUGCCCAGGACUCUGGAAUAACCGCGGGAAACCGUGGCUAAUACCGGAUAGGUGCCGAGGCCGCAUGGUCUUCGGUUGGAAAGUUUUUGCGGUUCUGGAUCGGCUCGCGGCCUAUCAGCUUGUUGGUGGGGUAAUGGCCUACCAAGGCGACGACGGGUAGCCGGCCUGAGAGGGUGACCGGCCACACUGGGACUGAGACACGGCCCAGACUCCUACGGGAGGCAGCAGUGGGGAAUAUUGCACAAUGGGCGGAAGCCUGAUGCAGCAACGCCGCGUGGGGGAUGACGGCCUUCGGGUUGUAAACCUCUUUUAGUAGGGAAGAAGCGCGAGUGACGGUACCUGCAGAAAAAGCACCGGCUAACUACGUG
rnacentral:rRNA from 1 species